AACGAACGCUGGCGGCGCGUCUUAAACAUGCAAGUCGAACGGUAAGGAAGGAGCUUGCUCCUUUCUGAGAGUGGCGGACUGGUGAGUAACACGUGGGUGACAUACCUUUUAGAUGGGGAUAGCUAUUAGAAAUAGUAGGUAAUACCGAAUGUGACCGUAUCUGUUAGAGGGAUACGAGGAAAGGAGCUAAGGCUUCGCUAAAAGAAUGGCCCGCGGCCCAUUAUGCUUGUUGGUGAGGUAACGGCCCACCAAGGCGAUGAUGGGUAUCCGGCCUGAGAGGGUGGACGGACACAUUGGGACUGAGAUACGGCCCAGACUUCUACGGGAGGCAGCAGUUAAGAAUAUUCCGCAAUGGACGAAAGUCUGACGGAGCGACGCCGCGUGGAUGAAGAAUGCCGAAAGGUUGUAAAAUCCUUUUAAGCCUGAGGAAUAAGCACAGUAGGGAAUGAUUGUGUGGUGACUGUAGGGCUUGAAUAAGCACCAGCAAAUUACGUGCCAGCAGCCGCGGUAACACGUAAGGUGCGAGCGUUGUUCGGAAUUAUUGGGCGUAAAGGGCAUGUAGGCGGAUGAGCAAGCUUGGUGUGAAAUGCUACAGCUUAACUGUGGGACAGCAUUGAGAACUGCACAUCUUGAAUUACUGAAGGGUAACUAGAAUUCCACGUGUAGGGGUGAAAUCUGUAGAUAUGUGGAAGAAUACCAAUGGCGAAGGCAAGUUACCGGCAGAUAAUUGACGCUGAGGUGCGAAAGUGCGGGGGAGCGAACAGG
rnacentral:rRNA from 1 species